AGGGGCGUGGCUCAAUUGGCAGAGCACCGGUCUCCAAAACCGGCGGUUGCAGGUUCGAGUCCUGCCGCCCCUG
rnacentral:tRNA from 1 species